AAUUACUGCAUUCAUUGAUGGAGACCUAAUAGUGUGUUUAUUCGCCACUAACAUGACGGCUGGGCAGCAGGAUGCAUGCGUAGAGGUGACCAGUCAGAGCCCUGAACAGCAAAGGACCAUCAACUACUAUGUGAACGUAUCUCGGAUCGUAGGCCUCAGUUUCAUAUUGAUUAUGUCACUCCUAUGCGCUUGCUGGAAUUCAUACCAUAGGAAACCAUACUGUGACUCUCUGUUUGAAAAGUACAUUGAGGAACACAUCGAGGCCAUUCUGAAUGAUGAACAAAGUAAACUGGCAAAAGCAGAGGCUGAAAAACGAAUUGCGCUGCACAAAAGGAAGAUUCAGCCUCAUGGAAGGGAUGACUCACAAAUGGACUGCGGAGGAAUGCAGAACCUAUCAGACACAGAUUCUAACCCAACGCUCUCACCACAUUCUUCAAGGAGAAAUUCCGCAGAUCAAAUAGAACUUCCAAAUGUACGCACACCUUUACUGCAAGGCUGCGAAAAACUAAACUACCCCUCUGGAGCCCAGGGAACUCAGGAGAGCUCAUUUUAAAUUACAGAAAGUAAAAAUUUUACUGAAAAUUCAACAAUGUAUAGGAUCAAAGAAAUGCCUUAAUUUUAAAAA